rnacentral:rRNA from 1 species
AGAGUUUGAUCCUGGCUCAGAACGAACGCUGGCGGUAUGCUUAAUACAUGCAAGUCGAACGAGAAACCUUCUUCGGAAGGUGGAAAGUGGCGCACGGGUGAGUAACGCGUAGACAACCUGCCCUUUAGUUUGGGAUAACCCUGCGAAAGCAGGGCUAAUACCGAAUAAUAGCUAACAGCCUGCCUGUUAGUUUAAAAGGUUUACUGCUAAGGGAUGGGUCUGCGUGACAUUAGUUUGUUGGUGAGGUAACGGCUCACCAAGGCGACGAUGUCUAGCGGGUUUGAGAGGAUGAUCCGCCACACUGGAACUGAGACACGGUCCAGACUCCUACGGGAGGCAGCAGUAAGGAAUUUUGCGCAAUGGGCGAAAGCCUGACGCAGCAAUACCGCGUGAGUGAAGAAGGCUCUUGGGUCGUAAAGCUCUUUUGCAGGAGAAGAUAAUGACGGUAUCCUGCGAAUAAGCACCGGCUAACUCCGUGCCAGCAGCCGCGGUAAUACGGAGGGUGCGAGCGUUGUUCGGAUUUACUGGGCGUAAAGAGCACGUAGGCGGCUUGAUCAGCCAAGGGUGAAAUCCCGGAGCUCAACUCCGGAAUUGCUCUUGAACUAUCAAGCUAGAGAUAACUAGGGGCAAGCGGAAUUCCUGGUGUAGAGGUGGAAUUCGUAGAUAUCAGGAGGAACACCUGUGGCGAAGGCGGCUUGCUGGAGUUAUUCUGACGCUGAGGUGCGAAAGCGUGGGUAGCAAACGGGAUUAGAUACCCCGGUAGUCCACGCCGUAAACGAUGAGUGCCGGCUGUUUGUGGUUUCGACCCCGCAAGUGGCGCAGCUAACGCAAUGAGCACUCCGCCUGGGGAGUACGGUCGCAAGACUAAAACUCAAAGGAAUUGACGGGGACCCGCACAAGCGAUGGAGCAUGUGGUUUAAUUCGACGCAACGCGAAGAACCUUACCUGGGUUUGAAAUCUCCUGACCGCUCUGGAAACAGGGUUUUCUCUUCAGAGACAGGAUGACAGGUGCUGCAUGGCUGUCGUCAGCUCGUGUCGUGAGAUGUUGGGUUAAGUCCCGCAACGAGCGCAACCCUUGUCCUUAAUUGCCAGCGAGUUAUGUCGGGGACUUUAAGGAGACUGCCGGUGUCAAACCGGAGGAAGGUGGGGAUGACGUCAAGUCAGCAUGGCCCUUAUAUCCAGGGCUACACACGUGCUACAAUGGCGAUUACAAUGAGCUGCUAAGCCGCGAGGUGGUGCUAAUCUCAAAAAAUCGUCUCAGUUCGGAUUGUAGUCUGCAACUCGACUAUAUGAAGCUGGAAUCGCUAGUAAUCGUGGAUCAGCAUGCCACGGUGAAUACGUUCCCGGGUCUUGUACACACCGCCCGUCACACCAUGGGAGUUAAUAUUGGCAGAAGACGUUGAGCCAACCUUCGGGAGGCAGGCGGCCAAGCCUGUAUUGAUGACUGGGGUGAAGUCGUAACAAGGUA